CCCAUCAGCUCCACCUAUCUCAGAUGCAUUUCACAAAGUUAGUGCAAGAACCAUGUUUUUUUUUUAUAAGUCAAAGGGAAAAAAGAACAAUAUUCUAUUGUGUCAUUCACAAUAUCAACACCAAAACAAUGUAAAUUCCAAAAUCUUCUAAAAUGUACACAGUGCAGAAUUCUAAUGUAGAUAUCCGGGAUUCCACAGAACCAAGAUGGUUUUCACCUUUAAAGUUGUGUACUAGGAAGUUCAGCUUGAUGAUUCUGAAAAAUAACAAAUAGCAUUACACUUGCAUAUCUAUAAAUGAGUAUGCUCAUAACAACAUUAACCAGUAUCGGUAUCACAAUAAUAGCCUGAACUGGUACUAAGAUUGAGGAACAAGCAAGCUGAACUUCCUAACACCUGGAGGAAGCAGAAUUCUGGUAAAAUAAAAGGAUAUGUACAUACUAUAAGCUGACAAAAGUAUUUGGCACUGUUGUUUAUUCUAUUAAUUCAUUCACAAUAUCAACACCAAAUCAAUGUAAGUUCCAAAAUCUUUGAAAAUGUACGCAGUGCAGAAUUCUAAUGUAGAUAUCUGGGAUUCCACAUGACCAUGAUGGUUUUCACCUUUAAAGUUGUGUUACUUGUGUACCAGGAAGAUCAGUUUGAUGAUUCUAAAACAUAACAAAUAGCAUUACACUUGGACAUAUUUAUAAAUGAGUAUGCUCAUAACAAUAUUAACCAGUAUCGGUAUAACAAUAAUAGCCUGAAUUGGUUCUAAGAUUGAGGAACAAACAAGCUGAACUUCCUAAAACCUUGAGGAAACAGAAUUCCGGUAAAAUAAAAGGAUAUGUACAUACUAUAAGCUGACAAAAGUAUUUACUGUUUUUUAUUUAUCUUUCAAGAUCAUUUUAACAAAUUAUUUCAGCUUAAAAAAACUACAGAUUUAUGCUAAAAACAAAGAUUCUCAAGGAAUCCAAGAUGUAUGCCCAGGCCACCUGGCUAAAGAUGUUUAGGAAGAGAAAAGCAAAAGCAAAGAGGCUAAGUUUGGAAUACUUGAUGCCCCAGAAAAAGAAAGAGAGAUAAAGCAAAGAGGCUAAGUUUGGAAUACUUGAUGCCCAGAAAAAGAAACAGAGAUAACAAACUCCCAAGUCCAGCUAAAAUGAGAGAAAUGUAGGCCAAGGAUUGAUAACAUAAACCUUUUCUAAGGUUUAGCAAACAGUGUCUGCAAAAUUUGAACUUGAAGCUUGAGAACCGUGAUCCUCGAAGUAAAAGUUGUGAGAUCCAAAAAGUGAGGAGUGGAAAUUAAAAGAAUGAGUCGUGUUAAAGCAGGAUUUCGAUCAAAAUUGGAGCUGAUGCUCAGUUGGAAUCUAGAUGAUCAAGAUAUUAAUAAAACCAAAGCUUUAUAAUGUGGGAACAAAGAACUAACAAAAAAUGUUAAAGAUAACUCAAAAUAAGAUUCACAAUGGUUUAGACCAUUUGGUGCUAGAGAAAACACAAGAUUGCCAUCCAACAUUAUUCACCAACAUAAAUAAUUGUAGCCAUGUAUAUGAUUGCACUAUGCCAACUACUACAAGCUUUGUUCAAACUUUUAUUGCCUUGAAUGGCUGCAGGAAUGUGGAAGUCAGAAUCCUUACUAUUCGAAGAGGUGCUUGGUACAGUCACACUGUUACCUACCAUUGUCCAUACAAACUAUGGGCAAAUCUGCAACCUCUAGGAUGCAGCAUGAGAGAAUAGCUACUUAAGAGGUUGAAAGACUGCUGUCCGACAUCAAAUACAAAAUUUGAACAAGCCAAGGAAUUUGAAUGGAAAAGAAUGCUUAUGAAACAAGCUAAUGUGUCUCACCAAUUGUUUGCAGAUUGCGAGGCCAAGCCCUGUUCCACCAUACUUCCGAGCAUGAUCUGCACUAGCUUGCAUAUACUUCUUGAACAAUGAAGCUGUUAGACCUUGCUUGCAUCGUUCUCGACAUCCAGGACAUUGCUCGGACACGGCAUGAAGGGAAGAACUGAAAUAUAAACAUUCCAUGAAUGUAGAAAGUGUUUGCUAAUUGAACUCCUACCUCGACAGGAACAUCGUCAGCUACAUGUCCUUCCAAUGUCAGUUCCUUCUUCAAAGAUGCAGCAGCAGUCUGGAGGACAUGUCUAACUACCUCUCUUGGUCUAAAUUUUGUAUCCUCCAACUUCAUAGCUCCUAACAGAAAGGGAAAGAGCAAAGUUAAAAUUUCGUUACGCUGAACCGAUAUUCAAUAAUUACUGAGAUUUCUUAAGUAAUGAAAAUGACUCCAUCAAAGGUCAUCACAAUGCAAUUCUCAUUUAUAACUAGGGAAUGGAUAUACAUUAACACAAAUCUGAUGGAAACUGUUCUAAAGUUGAGAUAUCAGAAAAAAUUUGGAGAAGUCCAAGAAAACUGCGGAUCUUCAGAUACUUGUUAUGAUUUUUGUUUUUUAUCUUUAGUGCAUGGUUAUGCAGGCCAUAAUUUUCUGCAACAGUUUAAUAUAUACUGAAGUCUGUCAAGUCCAAAUAUCAAUAUAAAUUUCCUUAGUCAGGUGAA